UACGUAGGGGGCUAGCGUUGUCCGGAUUUAUUGGGCGUAAAGGGCGCGUAGGCGGCCAGUUCAAGUCAGUUGUGAAAUCUCCGAGCUUAACUCGGAAAGGUCAACUGAUACUGCUCGGCUAGAGUGCGGAAGGGGCAACUGGAAUUCUUGGUGUAGCGGUGAAAUGCGUAGAUAUCAAGAGGAACACCUGCGGCGAAGGCGGGUUGCUGGGCCGACACUGACGCUGAGGCGCGAAAGCUAGGGGAGCGAACGGG
rnacentral:rRNA from 1 species